UACGGGGGGAACGAGUGUUAUUCGUAAUGAUUGGGCGUAAAGGGCGCGUAGACGGAUUUUUUAAGUUUGUAAUAUAUACAAUUAAUUGUGUAAUUUAGUAUACUGGGGUCUAGAAUUAUAUAGAGGUUGGUGGAAUUUUGAAAGUAGGGGGUGAAAUGCGGUACUUACAGAAAGACCAUCAACAGGCGGAGGCGACCAAUCAUAUAUAAUUGACGUUGAGGCGCAAAAGCGCAGGGAGCAAACAGG
rnacentral:rRNA from 1 species